GAUGAAGAACGCAGCGAAAUGCGAUAAGUAAUGUGAAUUGCAGAAUUCAGUGAGUCAUCGAAUCUUUGAACGCACAUUGCGCCCCUUGGUAUUCCGAGGGGCAUGCCUGUUCGAGCGUCAUUAUAACCCCUCAAGCUCAGCUUGGUGUUGGGGCCUGCUGCACUGGCAGCCCUUAAAAUCAGUGGCGGCGCCAUCUGGCUCUAAGCGUAGUAAUUCUUCUCGCUAUGGAGUCCUGGUGGAUGCUUGCCAUCAACCCCCAAUUUUUCUAUGGUUGACCUCGGACCAGGUAGGGAUACCCGCUGAACUUAAGCAUAUCAAUAAGCGGAGGA
rnacentral:misc_RNA from 1 species